UUUCCUAAGUUCUGUUUCUUGAAGUGGUAUUGUUUACAAAUGGCAAAAACAUCUACUUCUUUUAAAAAGAAACAAAGUCAAGGACAAGGAAAUAUUGCAUGAGUUCAUGAAGUACACAAACACCGAACAGCAUUGUACCAGGCCUUCCAGCUGUCCUCACAGUGCAAGCAGUCUCCUCAUCUUCUCGAUAUAGCUUAGAUGGUCCAUUCUCACUCUGCAGAAGGUUCUUUAUCUCAUUUGGGAAUGCUUCCUCUUGGACCAGUUUGAUUAUGAACAGCUUGGCUUGCUGCAGCAUCCGCAGCAGCUUCUUGGCGCUUGAUGGAAGACAUGUUCGAAUGCUCUGAGGCGCCCUUCAAGAUAGAAGUGACAGAAUCAAAUUCACUUUUGGUGGAGUUCCAGAGAGACCCCGCCUCCGGCCAAUCUGGUUCAUCUUCAUGUGGGAGCUUCCCAUCCAGAGUACGAGUUCGCUCACUUCAUCUCAGCGGCUGCCCUUCUGCUGGCUGAGAACCAACUUCACUCGCAUUGUCUUCAAGAGGACCAUCUAGAGGUUCACUUCCAUCAUCAACUUGCCCUACCUUAAGUGUAGACUCACUAGAUUCUGAUAUAAUUAAAUAACUAAGUUAUUAAAUGUAGUAAAUGUAAACUUGAAUAUUAAAUGUAAAUAGAGUCUUAAUGUUUGUAAUGUUAAAGUCUAAC